rnacentral:rRNA from 1 species
UACGUAGGGGGCAAGCGUUGUCCGGAAUCAUUGGGCGUAAAGAGCGUGUAGGCGGCCCGAUAAGUCCGCUGUGAAAGUCCAGGGCUCAACCCUGGGAUGCCGGUGGAUACUGUCGGGCUCGAGUCCGGAAGAGGAGUGUGGAAUUCCUGGUGUAGCGGUGAAAUGCGCAGAUAUCAGGAGGAACACCAAUGGCGAAGGCAGCACUCUGGGACGUGACUGACGCUUAGACGCGAAAGCGUGGGGAGCAAACAGG